rnacentral:lncRNA from 10 species
GGAGUCCUCCCUAAUAUUAGGCAAUGCUGAGAAGGGCCAAGCAAUUCAAGGGGGUUGUAUUUGCCACAAAGGCAAGGCCAGGACUUACCACUGUACAGACAAGACAAGCUGCUACUAGUGGUAUCAUCCUUGAUGAUUUGGAACUGGUCUUAAAAAAAAAAAUCCCACUCAAACUCCACUUGUACCACUAAUAGACACAUAAGGGAUUAGACAUCUAGCUGGUGGACCUGUGCCACCAGUAUUGAACAGAUAAGGUAAUUGAUGAUAUUGAUGAUAAUCAUAGGAGUAACAAUAGCCAAAGUUUACUGAGGAUUUAAUAAUCUUCACAGCAACCCCUUAUCUUAGGCAUUGUAAUUAUGACCAUUUUAAUAAUAAGGAAACAUAGAUGCUAAGUAACUUGCCUAUGAUCACCUGGCAAAAAGUGGUAUGAGAGGGCUGAUUCUACGUUUCAACUUGGGUCACUCCUGUUAUAUAUGAACUGCUCAGUGCAACAGGUCUUGGUUGAAUGUUUAUUUUGUGCCUAACACUCUGGGAGGUAUGAGAAUUAAU